rnacentral:rRNA from 1 species
UACGGGGGGGGCAAGCGUUGUUCGGAAUUACUGGGCGUAAAGGGCGUGUAGGCGGCCAACUAAGUCCGACGUGAAAUCCCCAGGCUUAACCUGGGAACUGCGUCGGAUACUGGAUGGCUUGAAUUCGGGAGAGGGAUGCAGAAUUCCAGGUGUAGCGGUGAAAUGCGUAGAUAUCUGGAGGAACACCGGUGGCGAAGGCGGCAUCCUGGACCGGCAUUGACGCUGAUGAGCGAAAGCCAGGGGAGCAAACGGG